AUUGAACGCUGGCGGCAGGCUUAACACAUGCAAGUCGAGCGGGGGAAGGUAGCUUGCUACCGGACCUAGCGGCGGACGGGUGAGUAAUGCUUAGGAAUCUGCCUAUUAGUGGGGGACAACAUCUCGAAAGGGAUGCUAAUACCGCAUAUGUCCUACGGGAGAAAGCAGGGGAUCUUCGGACCUUGCGCUAAUAGGUGAGCCUAAGUCGGAUUAGCUAGUUGGAGGGGUAAAGGCCUACCAAGGCGACGAUCUGUAGCGGGUCUGAGAGGAUGAUCCGCCACACUGGGACUGAGACACGGCCCAGACUCCUACGGGAGGCAGCAGUGGGGAAUAUUGGACAAUGGGGGGAACCCUGAUCCAGCCAUGCCGCGUGUGUGAAGAAGGCCUUAUGGUUGUAAAGCACUUUAAGCGAGGAGGAGGCUACUCUAGUUAAUACCUAGGGAUAGUGGACGUUACUCGCAGAAUAAGCACCGGCUAACUCUGUGCCAGCCGCCGCGGUAA
rnacentral:rRNA from 1 species